CGCGGGAUGGAGCAGCUAGGUAGCUCGUCGGGCUCAUAACCCGAAGGUCGCAGGUUCAAAUCCUGCUCCCGCAA
rnacentral:tRNA from 1 species